CCGCGGCGCAUUAGCUAGUUGGUGAGGGAAGGGCUCACCAAGGCGACGAUGCGUAGCCGGCCUGAGAGGGUGAACGGCCACACUGGGACUGAGACACGGCCCAGACUCCUACGGGAGGCAGCAGUAGGGAAUCUUCCGGAAUGGACGGAAGUCUGACGGAGCAACGCCGCGUGAGUGAGGAAGGCCUUCGGGUCGUAAAGCUCUGUUGUUCGUGAAGAAGGGGUUGGCCAGGAAAUGGGCCGACAUUGACGGUAGCGAACCAGAAAGCCCCGGCUAACUACGUGCCAGCAGCCGCGGUAACACGUAGGGGGCAAGCGUUGUCCGGAAUGAUUGGGCGUAAAGGGCGCGCAGGCGGCCUCUUAAGUCUGAUGUGAAAGCCCACGGCUCAACCGUGGAGGGACAUUGGAAACUGGGGGGCUUGAGUGCAGGAGAGGGGAGUGGAAUUCCACGUGUAGCGGUGAAAUGCGUAGAGAUGUGGAGGAACACCAGUGGCGAAGGCGGCUCUCUGGCCUGUGACUGACGCUGAGGCGCGAAAGCGUGGGGAGCGAACAGGAUUAGAUACCCUGGUAGUCCACGCC
rnacentral:rRNA from 1 species